rnacentral:lncRNA from 10 species
CAUCCAGACGCCUGGCCAGGAUCCUCGAUAAGACCGUGACCCCCAACUUGGACACCCCAUAAGGCUGGAGUGCAGUGGCACAAUCUUGGCUCACUGCAACCUCCGACUUCCGGGUUCAAGCAAUUCUCCUGCCUCAGCCUCCCAAGUAGCUGGGACUACAGAGACAGGGUUUCGCCAUGUUGGCCAGGCUGGUCCCCAACUCCUGACCUCAUGUGAUCCACCCGCCUCGGCUUCCCAAAGUGCUGGGAUUACAGGCGUGAGCCAUCGCACCUGGCCUGAGUUUGCAUUUCUAGGUUCCCAGAUGAUGUGACAGCUACUGGUCUCCAGCCACACCUUGAGAACACUUGGCUUUGACUACCACUUCUUAAACUUAAAGGAAAACUAGACAAUCCACCAGCCCAGGAGGGGACAAGCAGGCUUAUUCCUCCUCCUCGUCAUCUCUGGCUCCAGCCCCACCCUGGCCCUUGCUGGCAUUCUUCCUCUUCACGUGGCUGGGGUUGGCCACCCCAAUAGGGAAGCAGAGGGAGAAGUCAAUGUGCUUCUGGGAAUCCAGGCGGACAGUGAAGAACAGGAUAUUUACCACCUGCUCACGGACACGGAUAUGACACUGUUGAAUCAGCACAUGAGCGUGGCGGAUGGACUUAGCCAAGC